UCUCAGAGAUUAAGCCAUGCAUGUCUAAGUACAGACCUUAAAACGGUGAAACCGCGAAUGGCUCAUUAAAUCAGCUAUUGUUCAUUGGAUCGUAAAAUGCUACAUGGAUAACUGUAGUAAUUCUAGAGCUAAUACAUGCCACAAUGCCCUAGGCCUCUGGCUCUGGGUGGAUUUAUUAGAACAAAACCAAUCGGUAGCUUCGGCUGCCGUUAAUUGGUGAUGACUCUGGAUAACUUUACUGAUCGCAUUGUCGUAAGACGGCGACGGAUCCUUCAAAUGGCUGCCCUAUCACACUUUCGAUGGUAGGUGACCUGCCUACCAUGGUGCUGACGGGUAACGGGGAAUCAGGGUUCGAUUCCGGAGAGGGAGCCUGAGAAAUGGCUACCACGUCCAAGGAAGGCAGCAGGCGCGCAAAUUACCCAAUCCCAGAACGGGGAGGUAGUGACGAAAAAUACGGAGACGGGACCUAUCCUAGGCCUCCGACAUCUGAAUGAGUACAUUUUAAAGCCUUUAACGAGGAACAACUGGAGGGCAAGCCUGGUGCCAGCAGCCG
rnacentral:rRNA from 1 species